rnacentral:lncRNA from 1 species
GCCGCGCGUGACGGUGGUGUCGCCCGCAGGCGGCCGAGCGCGGCCACCGGGACGUCUGCGCCCUGCUCCUGCAGCUCGACCCGGCGCUGGCGGCAGCCCGCGACGCCAGGGGACGGCGGCCCUGCGACACGGCGGACCCCGCGGUCCGGGACCUGCUGGAUGGCUGAGGGGGACGCGGUGGUGGCGCACGGAGAGCAUCGGUACCGAGAUGUGCUCCUGGCCGGGGCAGCGCGGCGAGGCCACCUCAGAGCCGCGGGCUCUGGGCCACCUGUCCCCGCGCCCUGUCACCUCCCAGGACAGAAGCGCCCCCUCAAAUGGAGCUGGAACCUCCUGGGCUUCGGUUUGUGGCCGGUGCCUCUCGUCCUGUCGCUGGGCACAGCUGAAAAGAGACCGGCUCCAUCCUCUGGACACCCUCCCCUCAGAUAUUUGCACACCUUGAUGGGGCCUCCGGGGGAGGCUCAGCGCCUCGCCCUGCUGCCAGCACCCUUCCGACGCCCCCCAGGAUCCCGUUGGCGCUCCCCGAGCACCGAGGGCGAAGCGAAUGGGCAGCCCGGGAGCUCUCAGCCUCCAUCCCCACCCCAAAGCACGCAAGAGGCCGACAGUACAGAUAUAGAGAUUUUUUUUUUUUAUUACCCAAUCGGCAAAAAAAAUAAAAUUCCAGAGUCGGUUCCACAACCUGGGGGGGGGGGCUGCAACAGCGGCACCGGCCCCUGCGGGGCCUCCGGGCCCGGCCUCCCCCUCCCCAAAAUAUACAAAUCAAACCCGAUGCGAAAAAUAAAUACAGAUUCUCGGGGGGGGAAGGGUUGCAUAGAGGAAGAUUUAAUAAAAAAGUUUUUUUUUUUUUUUAAUUUCCAUCAUGAUUUAUUAUUAUUAUUAUUAUUAUUACUUCUAGCAUCUCCCCGCAGAAGAACCUAGGACCUGAUAGUCGCGACACGAUUAACAAAAAUAAUUAACCUUCUCCCAAUAACUUACAGCGGUCACCCAGGGG